rnacentral:rRNA from 1 species
GAUGAACGCUGGCGGCGUGCUUAACACGUGCAAGUCGAACGGUGAACGAGGGAGCUUGCUCCCUCCGGAUCAGUGGCGAACGGGUGAGUAACACGUGAGCAAUCUGCCCUGGACUCUGGGAUAAGCGUUGGAAACGACGUCUAAUACCGGAUACGAGGCGUGGGGGCAUCCCCAACGCCUGGAAAGAACUUCGGUCCAGGAUGAGCUCGCGGCCUAUCAGGUAGUUGGUGAGGUAAUGGCUCACCAAGCCUACGACGGGUAGCCGGCCUGAGAGGGUGACCGGCAACACUGGGACUGAGACACGGCCCAGACUCCUACGGGAGGCAGCAGUGGGGAAUAUUGCACAAUGGGCGCAAGCCUGAUGCAGCAACGCCGCGUGAGGGACGACGGCCUUCGGGUUGUAAACCUCUUUUAGCAGGGAAGAAGAGAAAGUGACGGUACCUGCAGAAAAAGCACCGGCUAACUACGUGCCAGCCGCCGCGGUAACAC